GAUAAUUAAAUCAAUAUUAUAUGGGAACUGCAUCUAUUCCAUGAGAAAGACAUUUUAAAUAGCGAAAAUAAUAUGUCACAUGGCACAACAAAUUUUAAUUAAAUAGUUGUAUAAUCACCUUGCAGAGUGAAGAAAGUGGAAAGAAGUGAACCUACAUUAGAAGUGUCAGAAUUUCAUUUGGUUAAAAGUGGCAUAUCUGAUCAAGAUACAGUUCAUGUGCAGGAAAUAGCUAGAAUUUUAAGGAAAAAAGGUCAUCAUAUUGAGAUUGCAAGGAACAUAGAAACAGCAAAAAAGAAUAUUCGUGUAUUACCAAAACCAUUGGAGAAACCUGCAGCAGAAAGGAUAAAGAGAAUAGUUGGCUUUGAAGGUACAAAGAAAGAACUAAAAAAAAAUGGAACGCAGUAAUAAUGAAGAACAGAGUAGCAGACUCACUUCAGUUUCCUUUGAAUCAUUCGUCAUUAAAAUUGGAAUCAUCUAACGAGUUCGUAAAAAAAUUUAGAAUUCAAUCAGAUCUAGAGAAAGAACUUGCUGCAUUAGAACCACAGAAAGAAAAUAUUGAAGAGAAAGACGACGAGUUCUCUUUGACAUUAAAAGAAAUUGCUAUUAAGAGAAAGGAAGCUGCGAAAAUUAGAGCACAACAGGUUUCUCUUCGUGAACAGUAAUUUCUGGAACUUGCACCAGCGAUUCUGCUUGUGGCUGUUCUGCAAUUUGAUCUACAAGCUCCCUUUCAACAUCCAACAAUGGAGCUGUUCUCUCCAAUGUCUUGGAUUGAUCGGUUGUUUCGAGCCUAGCGAGUUGACUUAUUUCGACGGUUUGAUCUGGUACAUCAAAUUCGUCUGGUACCAUCGAGGGGUAAGUCAAACGUCGACGGAAGGAUGUCAUUAACGUUUUUCCCCAUUUUGUACCAAACAUGUGCAUCGCAGGCUUCGUUAGAUGUUCUUGCGCUGAUAACUUCAGCGAAAUCGUCCAUAACUAGAAGACUAAGUUUAUGAACUCACUGUAGUCUGAAAUGUAACGUUCUCCAUACGUCUACGCAUUGAUGUUCCAUCCAACAUGAGAUAAUCUGGGAGGAGCCAUAGCAUGUGUUUCUAUCUGCUGCUCGGAUUGCUGUUCUAGUAUAAUUUCGGCUACAGGCACAGGUGCUGGUUCUAGUUCAAUUAGAGUCGUAGGUAUCAAUUCUCUCUCAGCACUUAUCGGCUGGAUCUGUAAAAUAAAAUGUGGUCCAUGGAAGUAAGGUAAAUGUCUCAAUCUCUGUUCACGUGACAAUUUCCAUUCACUAGCUCGUUUAUCUGUAAUUUAUAAGCCAAUAAGUAAAUAUUGUGAUGUGAACAGAAAUCGGGACAUUUCAUGUAUAAUAUUAAAAGAAUAAAGAUGAAAAAAAUUUCAAAUUUUUCUUUUUAUUCAACAUACUUUACUUCUUUUUGAAGGAGGCUCUGUAGGAGAUGUUAGAGGCCUCUUCUCAGGAGUAGAAGGAGCAAGUAUAUUAAUUUCACUACCUGAAAGGAAGAUAAAGCCUACAUUUUUGUACUUGGUUUAGAUGUGGAAAAUUCUAUUGUAAAUGGAAUUUUUUGAUUACCUUCAAUCAGAAAUUCACGUUGACUAAUUGGCUCGUGUGGUAACAAGGUUUCUGAUUGUAUCGUAUUGAUUCCUGAAGUACCUGGCAUCGGAUCUUCCGCUAAGUUCUCAGGAAGAUCUGUUGGCUCAUUCCAAUUGAAUCCUCUUAUUUCCAUACUAAAUAAUAAUGUAAUUGUAUUUUUAGUUAUUAAUGUACACAUGAAAUAACACAGACAUGUUUAUAAUUAUAAUAAAAAACUAUUUAAUCCUUUGAACUCGUAAUAUUGCAUAAUGAAAUAUGAAAUAAUUAGUAAUUGAGAUUUUUGGAAAUGAAAAAGUGAGUAUUAAGAAUAGGAUCUUGGAAGUGAUGAUAAAUGACGGAGAACUGACAAGGAUCCUUCUCCUUCAUGUAAUAGGAAUCUCUCCAGUUCGUCAGUGGUAAGCACUCCGAAAUUCAUGUCUUCUUGUAUCUAAAUUUAAAUUGAAUGUAAUAUAGUAACAUGCAGGUUUAAAAUACGAGGUCAGUGCAAAAGUUUGUGCCUCAUUUGCAGAGGCAGGUCAUAUCACAUCGUACUUCGACAUAGAUAUUCGUUUUAAUAUUAUAUUGUAUAAACCUAUCUAAAAAUAGUACCCUCGCAAGUCUUCAUUUUGUCUAUUAUUAUACAAGUUUGGAAAGGACCUGAAUAUUGAAAUUGUAGCAAAAACAUUCUAUUUGUACAUUUGGACUGUGCU